UAGGAUUUACUGCCACCACCUUACAUUCCAAUAAGAUAAGGUGCCUCUCUUUGAAUUGACCUGUGUUGGUGUGUGUACAAAUAUUACUGGAGGUUAGUUUGGUUCUUCAGGUCAUUAAGAACCAAGUACAACUUACAGGUAACAAAUACUCAAAUGACGCAUGUGUGGGUAAAUCCAUCUGGUCUAUGUGGCGUUUCUAAUUUGAUGUAACGAUCUUUGAUGCUGGAGGCUCCACGUUGGGAUUUUGUAACUCACUUCUUCUGUCACUUAUGUGCCAUUUUCCAAGAAUACAGAGAGAUUCAAGAACAUAGCAGCGGGUCAUAUCCUUCCGACAUGGAGAUGGCUAUCACUAAUGGCCCCUUUGCUCAAACCAUGGAAUAAGCUAAUUGAUCACUUCUUGUCUCAGAGUUUUUCAGUUUCUUUUGUAGAAGACAUUUUUCUUGUCACCGACUUUUGCAAUGUAUUAGAGAGCUUUGAUGAGUAAAGUAAAACUUUCUAAGGUUAUAAGUU